ACUAUUAGGUUGGCCAAAAAGUUUGUUCAGAUUUUUUUCUCUAAGGACAUUAUAGGAAAAACUUGAACAAACUUUUUAGCCAACCCAAUACU
rnacentral:miRNA from 1 species